rnacentral:rRNA from 1 species
GAUGAACGCUGGCGGCGUGCCUAAUACAUGCAAGUCGAGCGAACAGACGAGGAGCUUGCUCCUCUGACGUUAGCGGCGGACGGGUGAGUAACACGUGGAUAACCUACCUAUAAGACUGGGAUAACUUCGGGAAACCGGAGCUAAUACCGGAUAACAUGUUGAACCGCAUGGUUCAACAGUGAAAGACGGUCUUGCUGUCACUUAUAGAUGGAUCCGCGCCGCAUUGGCUAGUUGGUAAGGUAACGGCUUACCAAGGCAACGAUGCGUAGCCGACCUGAGAGGGUGAUCGGCCACACUGGAACUGAGACACGGUCCAGACUCCUACGGGAGGCAGCAGUAGGGAAUCUUCCGCAAUGGGCGAAAGCCUGACGGAGCAACGCCGCGUGAGUGAAGAAGGUCUUCGGAUCGUAAAACUCUGUUAUUAGGGAAGAACAAAUGUGUAAGUAACUAUGCACGUCUUGACGGUACCUAAUCAGAAAGCCACGGCUAACUACGUGC